GUCCACGCCGUAAACGAUGGGUACUAGGCGUCGGGGGAGGCGACCCUCUCGGUGCCGUCGCUAACGCAGUAAGUACCCGCCUGGGGAGUACGGUCGCAAGACUGAAACUCAAAGGAAUUGACGGGGGCCCGCACAAGCGGUGGAGCAUGUGGUUUAAUUCGAAGCAACGCGAAGAACCUUACCUGGGCUUGACAUGCACGGGAAAGCCGGUGGAAACAUCGGCCCCUCUUCGGAGUCCGUGCACAGGUGCUGCAUGGCUGUCGU
rnacentral:rRNA from 1 species